rnacentral:rRNA from 1 species
AGUCUCCGAACGACUCCCGGCAACGGAUAUCUGGGCUCUCGCAUCGAUGAAGAACGUAGCGAAAUGCGAUACGUGGUGUGAAUUGCACAAUCCCGCGAACCAUCGAAUCUUUGAACGCAAGUUGCGCCCGAGGCCGCCGGGCCGAGGGCACGCCUGCCUGG